UGAUGAGUUUACAGCCUCUUUGAAGUUCAGAGACCUUUUUUAGUUCACCGAACCACACGUGUUGAUAGUAUCGGUCAUUUCAGCUUUAUCAGAUACUGAUAUUAGUGGGAAUAGUUUUAUUAUUACAAGAAAUGACAGCUUCUCUGGGGUCGAAUCAAGAUAAGGAUCAUUUUAAAGUUAGAGCAUGGUUUAAUCUUAACAGCACUUCCUGUAAAAAUUCAGAUAUUCAGUGCAAAGAGGUUUAUUGAGUAAAUACUGAAUUCAGUUUUAUUUCCACUAGGACUGGGUUAAUGUUGCACGUUCAUACAUUGAAGCUGCAGAAAAAACACAGAUUGUUGCAGCCUUAAAGCAGUUUUACAGUACUUUAAAUUACAGUGCUGUUUAAAAAAAAUAAAGCUGUAGCAUUUAUUGAAACAUUAUCAAACUAGCUUCGUUUACAUGGACAAAAUUUCUUGAUCCGAUUAAAAAUUGAGGGAUUGGUAAUCAGAAUCCACGGUUUAUAUGGCUGCAAAAUCAAAUAAUCCCAUCAUGACGUGCGUAUACAUCCACCAAGUUUUAUUCAGAUUAGAAGCAUUUGGACAUGCGCAGACGUGGUAGUGGUUCACUCCAUCCAGAUCAGGAGUUUCCCCCUGUUAAAUAAUAUCAUUAGAUGGCGCCCUUCCGUACUUAUUUUACUGUUCUAUCAAAGGUUGGGCUGUGCGUGCAGAUGUGACAUCAUUACGCUGUAUGUACGACUUGUUAUGUUACCGGAGGAGACACGACACUUGUGGUUGUGUUUUCUGCCAGAGUGUUACUAAUGAAACCUCCUGUACUGGCCUCAAUUAAUAAGCCAAAGGCCUUAGAGUGAAGAUCGAGUCAGGUAAGACAGUCAUGAACUCCUGCGAUCGCUUGCGGAGUAGGAACAGAAAGAAGCCGGUGGAAAUGGAUGAUCGGCGGAUACAGCCUUUUCAUAGCCGUUCCGGACGCGGUGGAAAUUGGGGGUAAGUGUUUACAUGGACGUGUUUUGGUAUAACAAUCGGCAUAAACCACCCCUCUCUAUCGUAAUACAAUUUCUUCCCGAUUGAGCCGAAUUGGAUCAGAAUCUUCCGAUUUAUUCUGAUUAUUUGUGCCCAUGUAAACGCAGCUACUGUCGGGCUACUUCUCAGCGGUGCCCUGACCCUUGCUGUGUUGACCUGCAGUUUACAUGGUGAAGCCCUGCUGAGGGAAGCCUUGUAAUCCACUGAUGUUGCCCCAUUUGGUUUUCAAUGAGGCCUUUGAUUUUCAGACCCAGGAAGCCUCUGAAGAUCUAACCAAGCCUCUUUGAGUCUUUUAACCUAAAGAAACUGAAAUACCGGGGGACUCAUUAGCAUCUGUUAGAGUUUGAAAUACAACACUAAACACUCUAGAUGUGACAUUUAAUUCAGCUGGGAAUUUGGGUUUGAAUACAAGAUUGAUCCAUUAGGAGGUGCUUUGAAAAACAGUUGGAGGAAUUUUCAGGCUGCAAAUGAAAGUUAUAUUUGCUCAACAAUUAACACUUUAGUAUCAGGUUAACUGUUUGGGUAAAGCCUGGUACUUGAGUGUCCAAGUAAGAGCUAAUGACAUCUCCUGGUGAUUUAUUUAUUUAUUUAUUUGUUUCAUUUAGGACAUACAUCUAACUCUUGUUCCCGUCAAUGUCACGCAGGCCACGUUGAGUCCUUUUUAUCAGCAUUAAGACUGUUAAACAGCUGUUAUAAAUACACUGUAAUAAAAACAUAAAUACAGCUACUAAGAUAACAAGCACUGCUACUACUUAUAUGUGCUCUGGUGUCUUUUCAGUGGGCUCUUUAGCUGUAAAAUUCAGCUGUAUGACGGUAAAUCUCUAUAAUAGAUCAAAAAUCCAGGAAUUAUUUAUAAAGAAUUUAGUUUUGUGUGUAAGCAUGCCUGUGGUUUCAUGCUUUUAUAUUAGAGGAUAAGAUAUACAAUAAUAUAGAUCCUGUGAGUUUCAGAGGUUUAAGUACAUAUCUCUGUGUGGCGGGGACAGAGCAGAAGUGUCCGUGAGGUCGAGGGCUGGAGGGGUCACCGGAGGAGCGAGCGGACACCCGGGGAUCAGAGCAGAGGCUUCAGAGAGACAGAAAGUGGAGGCUGCAGGGUGAAUGUGCCCGUGUGUUUAGCAGAGCCAGAAGAAAGGACACUACAUCAACUCCAGCUGAGGCCCGAGGGGUUAAUGGAUAGGACUACCCAGCAGGGGUCAAAGGUCAGUAGGCCACUCUCUGCCAGGGCUAAUUGGUCACUGUGACCAGAGUUAACGCCAACUUCUCUAUGGAGAAAUUCAUACACAUGUAUGGAGCUGCUCUGACGGGCUGAUCAACGAUGCUUCUGUUGUGCUUCAACACAGUCAUGGAGAUCAGUCAGGUGUCCAUGGCAACAAUCAGCAGCCUUCACCGUACAUCGCCAUCAGCACCACCUACAAUGACAGCGAGGCUACACUCAAGAAAAGAUGGAGGGCUUUUGAUCUUAGACUCGUUUGCAUUUACUUAUUUAGCUUUAAUGGGAAAAUGACAACAGAGACGUGUCCAUAAUUUACCUUCAUGUUUGGAGCAUUCACUCAUGACCAUUCAACUCGAAACAUGUUCAUGCAUCAUGUGCCAGUAUACACUUUAAACUCAUCCAAGUCACAGUCAAACUGCAGAUGAUGUUGCGUAAAAGAGCUAAAUUAAAUAAAACAGAUGAUAUGAUUAGACAAAUUAAUUAAAAUUAACUUAGAUUUUUCAAAAUAAAGUUUAAAGGGUCUGAUUUUGAACUAAAUGUUUGUCAAUCAAACAGAUUUAAUGCUCAGAGGAAAUCAAAGUUUUUUAACAAUGAAAAAAAAUUUCUUCUGCUUCUUGAUUUUAUUGAUAUUAUUUCAAUCAGCAUCUGCAUUUUUUGCAUUACUGCAUCCAUUUGCACUGUUUAUUUUGCCUUCAUAACUCUGCACUACUGCCUUAUGGUCAUGUUCAUAGACUGUUUUUAUUCUUUAUUUAAUGUAAAUAUUGUUACAGUAUUUGUAUAAUGUGUACUGUUGGUGCUGCCUCUGGUUUUUUAAAUUUCCCUCAGGGAUUAAUAAAGUAUCUAUCUAUCUAUCUAUCUAUCUAUCUAUCUAUCUAUCUAUCUAUCUAUCUAUGAUUUGUAGGGGGUUUUGCCUGUUUUAAACCACAUAAUCUCAAAAUAAGACGUGUAUGAUCAAAAUUUCAACUAGUAAAAAGGUAUUACAAAAUAAAAUGUUUCUAAAACAUGAAAAAUAUUCUUAAAACAAACUGAGAAAAACUCAAUAUUCUCUCAUAAUUUAGCAAAAAGAUGCUCUUCAGUGAUUCAGUCUGUAAUAAAUAAUACAAAGACUCUAAUAGCUCUUGUGUUUAUAAUUCAAAGACAUAUAAUUACCUUCAAUGAUUUUUUUUAAUAUAAGAGGGAAUCCAGUUUGUGAAUAACUGUGUAAAUAGAGCACUUGUUGAUCUUAAAGGCUGAAUUCUAUCUAAAAGAAAGCAUAUUAUUAUGAAGAGUGAGUCUAAAUAUUAGGAACAUAUGAGGUGAUACAAGCAGAGCCACAGUGCAAGUCGUAAUUCACCAAAAUCAGAGUCUAAACCUGCUGUAUUCACAUGUAAGGGUUAAAAACCCGUAAAGGCUUCAGUUCAGAGGAGUCCUGAUGGAUUGAUGUUGUCAUGCUGAUGCUGUCAGACCCUUGAUGCUGCACUGUUAAUGAUUUAUGAGGGGUAGUGGGAUACCCAGAAAGGGACCUGGGUUAAUGUUCACCUCCUCUCUUGGGGGUCUGCCCACGGCUGAACAGAUCCAAACCCACAGAGGGGCACAUGACUGACUGACUGACUGACUCGGCCGGCCUCCAGCUAAACUGGGCCUACACGGCAAGGAGGGGGCCAGGCUUGGUUCUCACAGGCGUCAGGAGGGGACAGAAAAGAAGCCUGGUAUCUUUCUCAUGAAGCUCAAUGGACAGGCAGCAGCAAAAAUGAUACAAAGAGCUGGAAUGAGCUUAUAUUAAAGACUAACCAUGAAAGUGAUGACUAGUCACACUUAAGGUUUGCAAAAAUGAUCUCUGUGCAUUGGUUUAUUUGUGGCUGAUAUGUCAUUGGUCAUGUUUCUUUGUGCUUAAUGUGCAUUCUGGAAAAAAGUGACAUAAAAACCUGAAGCUUACAGCUCAUGCACCACUGACAGUGACCUCCCACCCCUUUUGGAAGGGGAGAUCUUUUUUGAGAUGUCAUCACAGAUAUGAAGAGACUUUUUUUUCUUCAUUUAUGGUCCCUGCAUGAGCAACAGAGCUGUCCUUCUUCUCCUUCCUUCAGUCUUGCACUCUCCUAGAGCUACCUCGCUUUACCCCUCUCUAACCCUCUCUUGGUGAAAUGGCUCUCCAUUUGUUCACUGUUAAAAGUGAAGCCACUGUCUUCCAUUGAGUUCUUCUCCCCUCUGAGUCUUACAUGGUUAUUUUCAGUCCUCUGUCAUGCAUAUAGACUCUGGUACAGUAGAGGCUGAGGACAGACCAGGUGAUGGAUAGGAGCGGUGCUUGUCAUUCGCUGCCUUACUUCGCUCUCAUUAAGCUGUAAAUCUUUCACAACAACACCCACCAACACAAUGGCACAGAGUCUUCUCCUUGCUGCUCCACCUUGUGUAACAAUGAAACUGCCGACUGAAUCACUUUAGUUCAGACCCACUGAGGCCUCAAGACUUCACACAGCCAAUAAACAUGUUGGAAAGUAAUUAACAGCUAAUAGUCGAAAUGAAAGUAUAAAUUCAUAUAAUGAAUUUACAAAAAAAAACAAAACUCAAAACUUUGAAAUUUAGUUUUUUGAAUUAUGACUGAACCAGAACUUUUCCAUAAUAGUGUUCCUGGUCCCAAAUGAGAAGUGUUUGUGUAGUCACAGGUCUUUUGUCUGGAAGACAGUCACAGUGUUGCAGAUUAGUGUGUGUGUGUGUGUGCGUGUGUGUGUGUGUGUGUGUGUGUGUGUGUGUAAGCAGUACCUGGGCAGUGUGUAUAAAAUUGCAAGUGCAACACUGACAUCUGCUGGACACUUGUAUCUAUUGUGUUGGGUGCAGUGUUGUGCAUGGGAAUUCAACGCCCUGUUUGCUGUUUCGCAGGUAGUCCUGUCUCUAGGAUUGGGUAUUGGACUCUCAUAUUACUGAAAACUAGCUACUCUUUAAUUUUAUUUUUUUUCAAAAUUAAGACUUAUAUUUGGACUAGCACAGUCCAUGCUGCGUAUAUCAGGCUAAAUGUAAGAUUUGUGUUAUUUGCAGUGCAGACAAUUAUCUUUAAUUAUAAGAGAUUAAAACAAAGUUUCAGCUCUAUAAAGCUUAUGACAGGCCACAAUGCCUUUAAAUGUAUAGCCAUAGCUGCUGGGCUGUAAUAAGGUGCAAUUUUUGAGAAUUCUGGGUGAAACCAUAGACUGUAUAUA